GUCCCGGUAGCUCAGUUGGUAGAGCACCUAGUUAUAACUGUCAGGAUGUUGCAGGAUCGAAGCCCGCCCGCAAUU